ACCUGUUUGUUGCAGGAUUCAGUCGGCUGAGACAUCACUUUUGGGGAACAUUGAAGAAGAGAUCCAGUGUUGAAUUAGUCAUGUCUAAUGAAAUGCACUGAUAUAUGAUAAAUACCUAGCAUAUGGGCACACAACAAAUGCACCAUUCAUGCCCACUCUUUCCAGAAGGCACAUUGACAGUUCUCGUCUUUACUCACUGCCUGAACCUUUCCUUACCCUUUGACCAAACCUAACCACUUCUUACCUUUUUCUUUUGUUUUGCUUUGUUUUUCUGCAUCUCUAGGUAUUUGCCUCUGUUGCUCCCUUUGCCUGGAAGCUUACCUAGUCCCAUCCAUGCCUUUGGAAAUCACGCGAAAAUGCUUCGAGCUGGAUCCCACGUGUCAUCACCUCAACAAAAGCCUUUCCCUGAGCUGUUUAACCGACCGUGCUUCCUCAAAACAGUGUAUACGCACGCAAGGUCAACUGCCUUCGCUCAGCCGAGCACACAUUAGAGCCUCGCCGGGGUGCCCUGCUACGAGCCCCCGCAGCGGCACAGGGGAGACGUCCAGUGACUUGACACGAGAAGGGACAGGUCUCCAGUCAUCCUACAGCGUGUCAUGA
rnacentral:lncRNA from 1 species